UGGGUAACCUGCCUGUAAGACUGGGAUAACUCCGGGAAACCGGGGCUAAUACCGGAUGGUUGUUUGAACCGCAUGGUUCAGACAUAAAAGGUGGCUUCGGCUACCACUUACAGAUGGACCCGCGGCGCAUUAGCUAGUUGGUGAGGUAACGGCUCACCAAGGCAACGAUGCGUAGCCGACCUGAGAGGGUGAUCGGCCACACUGGGACUGAGACACGGCCCAGACUCCUACGGGAGGCAGCAGUAGGGAAUCUUCCGCAAUGGACGAAAGUCUGACGGAGCAACGCCGCGUGAGUGAUGAAGGUUUUCGGAUCGUAAAGCUCUGUUGUUAGGGAAGAACAAGUGCCGUUCAAAUAGGGCGGCACCUUGACGGUACCUAACCAGAAAGCCACGGCUAACUACGUGCCAGCAGCCGCGGUAAUACGUAGGUGGCAAGCGUUGUCCGGAAUUAUUGGGCGUAAAGGGCUCGCAGGCGGUUUCUUAAGUCUGAUGUGAAAGCCCCCGGCUCAACCGGGGAGGGUCAUUGGAAACU
rnacentral:rRNA from 1 species